rnacentral:rRNA from 1 species
UACGAAGGGGGCUAGCGUUGCUCGGAAUCACUGGGCGUAAAGCGCACGUAGGCGGAUUGCUAAGUCAGGGGUGAAAUCCUGGAGCUCAACUCCAGAACUGCCUUUGAUACUGGUGAUCUUGAGUCCGGGGAGAGGUGAGUGGAACUGCGAGUGUAGAGGUGAAAAUCGUAGGUAUUCGCAAGAACACCAGUGGCGAAGGCGGCUCACUGGCCCGGUACUGACGCUGAGGUGGCGAAAAGCGUGGGGAGCAAACAGG